UACGAAGGGGGCUAGCGUUGUUCGGAAUCACUGGGCGUAAAGCGCAUGCAGGCGGAUCGUUAAGUCGGGGGUGAAAGCCCGAGGCUCAACCUCGGAACUGCCUUCGAUACUGGCGAUCUUGAGUCCGGGAGAGGUGAGUGGAACUCCGAGUGUAGAGGUGAAAUUCGUAGAUAUUCGGAAGAACACCAGUGGCGAAGGCGGCUCACUGGCCCGGUACUGACGCUGAGGUGCGAAAGCGUGGGGAGCAAACAGG
rnacentral:rRNA from 1 species